rnacentral:lncRNA from 1 species
CCUUGCCCGUGACAGUCGCCAUGCCGAACAUGUCUGUGGACAAGUGCGUGGACCUCUGCACAGAAAAGGAGUUCCCCCUGGCAGCCCUCGCGGGCACCGCCUGCCACUGCGGCUUUCCCACCACACGGUUCCCUCUUCAUGACCGGGAGGAUGAGCAACUGUGCGCCCAGAAGUGCAGCGCGGAGGAGUUCGAGAGCUGUGGGACCCCCAGCUACUUCAUCGUGUACCAGACACAGGUCCAAGACAACCGCUGUAUGGACAGAAGGUUCCUCCCAGCCAAGUCGAAGAAGCUCAUCGCUCUAGCCAGCUUCCCGGGCGCCGGCAACACGUGGGCUCGCCACCUCAUCGAGCUGGCUACCGGCUUUUACACUGGCAGCUACUACUUCGAUGGCUCUCUGUACAACAAAGGAUUCAAAGGUGAACGCGACCACUGGCGAAGCGGGCGGACCAUCUGCAUCAAGACCCACGAGAGCGGCCAGAAGGAGAUCGAGGCCUUCGACUCGGCUAUCUUGCUCAUCCGCAACCCCUACAAGGCCCUCAUGGCAGAGUUCAACCGCAAAUAUGGAGGCCACAUAGGCUUUGCCGCCCACGCCCACUGGAAAGGCAAAGAAUGGCCCGAGUUUGUGAGGAACUAUGCCCCGUGGUGGGCCACGCACACGCUGGACUGGCUCAAGUUUGGCAAGACCGUACUGGUGGUGCACUUCGAGGAUCUGAAGCAGGACUUGUUUACGCAGCUGGGUCGCAUGGUCAGCCUGCUGGGCGUGGCGGUCAGGGAGGAUCGGCUGCUGUGUGUGGAGAGCCAGAAGGAUGGCAACUUCAAGCGCUCGGGGCUGCGCAAGCUGGAGUAUGACCCUUACACAGCCGAGAUGCGCAGGACCAUCGCCGCCUACAUCAGGAUGGUGGACACAGCGCUGCGCAGCCGCAACCUCACUGGGGUGCCUGAGGCCUAUGGCCCAAGAUGAUGGGCAGACAGGGAGGGACCCAGCACGC